rnacentral:rRNA from 1 species
UACAGAGGGGGCAAGCGUUGUUCGGAUUUACUGGGCGUAAAGGGCGUGUAGGCGGCCUUCUAAGUCGAACGUGAAAUCCCCGGGCUCAACCCGGGAACUGCGUCCGAUACUGGAAGGCUUGAAUCCGGGAGAGGGAUGCGGAAUUCCAGGUGUAGCGGUGAAAUGCGUAGAUAUCUGGAGGAACACCGGUGGCGAAGGCGGCAUCCUGGACCGGCAUUGACGCUGAGGCGCGAAAGCCAGGGGAGCAGACGGG